rnacentral:hammerhead_ribozyme from 1 species
AUCCAGCUGACGAGUCCCAAAUAGGACAAGACGUGUAUCAAACUGGAU